rnacentral:tRNA from 4 species
GGGUCCGUGGUCUAGGUUGGUUAUGACGUGGCCUUUACAAGGCCGAGGUCGGUGGUUCAAAUCCGCCCGGACCCA